UUCCCUGUAGCUGAAAUGGUAAGGCAUCUGCCUGCAACACAGGAGAGACCCAGGUUUGAUCUCUGGGUUGGGAAG
rnacentral:tRNA from 1 species